rnacentral:rRNA from 1 species
AAGACCUUGCGCUUUUGGAGCGGCCGAUGUCUGAUUAGCUAGUUGGUGGGGUAAUGGCCUACCAAAGCUUCGAUCAGUAGCUGGUCUGAGAGGACGGCCAGCCACACUGGGACUGAGACACGGCCCAGACUCCUACGGGAGGCAGCAGUGGGGAAUUUUGGACAAUGGGCGCAAGCCUGAUCCAGCCAUGCCGCGUGAGUGAAGAAGGCCUUCGGGUUGUAAAGCUCUUUCAGCCGGGAAGAAAAGGCUGCGACUAAUAAUCGCAGUUCAUGACGGUACCGGAAGAAGAAGCACCGGCUAACUACGUGCCAGCAGCCGCGGUAAUACGUAGGGUGCGAGCGUUAAUCGGAAUUACUGGGCGUAAAGGGUGCGCAGGCGGUUUUGUAAGUCAGAUGUGAAAGCCCCGGGCUUAACCUGGGAACU